UACGAAGGGGGCUAGCGUUGUUCGGAUUUACUGGGCGUAAAGCGCACGUAGGCGGAUCGAUCAGUCAGGGGUGAAAUCCCAGAGCUCAACUCUGGAACUGCCUUUGAUACUGUCGAUCUGGAGUAUGGAAGAGGUGAGUGGAAUUCCGAGUGUAGAGGUGAAAGUUCGUAAGAUAUUCGGAGGAACACCAGUGGCGAAGGCG
rnacentral:rRNA from 1 species